rnacentral:rRNA from 1 species
GACAGAGGUGCCGAGCGUUAGGCGGAAUCACUGGGCUUAAAACGUGUGUAGGCGGAUCUGUAAGUACCUUGUGAAAUCCCACGGCUCAACCGUGGAACUGCUUGGUAUACUGCGGGUCUUGAGCCACCUAGGGGCAAGUGGAACAAACGGUGGAGCGGUGAAAUGCGUAGAUAUCGUUUGGAACGCCAAUGGUGAAAACAACUUGCUGGGGGUGUGCUGACGCUGAGACACGAAAGCCAGGGGAGCAAACGGG